UCACAAUUUAAAAUUCAAUUCAUGUUUCUGAACUGAAGUUUAAAAGAGGACGACUUUUGGGGGAGAAAAAAAUUCCUUUACCUUAAAGAGAAUGAAAACUUCCAUUGCAAUGACUUUUCAAGUGACUCUACUGUUAUGUCUCACACUUACACCUCUUGUCAAUGCACGUAUGGACCCAUGUCCGGCGACAUGUCAAGGGGAAGUACUGAUUCCCUGCGGCAAUAGAUGUAAACAGGAAAAGGACAUCGCGUAUAUAGAAUGCCAAGAGGAUUGUUUUAAAAAGUUUCACAAGUGUAUCGAUGAUUGUCACGAAAGAACUAAGCAAGAGAAAAAACGGGCCAAAAAUAAAGAACACCUGACGUCUCAAAAUGAUCGCUCACCGUCCCACAGGAAAAAAUCGAAUUAAAAUAAACGACAUUGAGAAAUUUGAUCAAUAAACUUGGUGACUUUGAGGUGA